UUUAGAGUAAUGAGAACAACGGAGCAAUUAAAAACAGCAGAUGAACUGUUUAAUCAAUGUAGAAAACACAAAACACGAGGUAUAAAACACAAACAGAUGUUUACAGUCCCGGCCUUUCAGCUACAAAACAAAAAAAUCUGUUCCUCUGCCGAACUGACCACACAACGCCUCUCCUUUCACAGGCAAACCACACGCUCGCCUCUGAGUUGCCUAGCAACCCAGAAACGUCAUCGCGAGAUUUCGUGCGAGAACAGCGCAGCGCUGCCCCCUGCUGUCAUGGAGGUGACGCAGCAGCGCAUCUGCUGGAAAGUUUAAUUUUAUACAUGUAACUAUAUAAAAAACGUUCUAACUACAUUUGUACAACAGCACUGUUAAAUGCACAGUUAUAAUGGCGUAUCAGCUACUGUAAAGCGGAAAUUUGUAUUUGUCUCAUUCCUAAAGUUUGCUGCUUUGAAACAAUAUGUUAUUGUAUAUAGUACUAUAAAAAUAAAGGUAACAUGACAGGAGCCACAUGAAACCAUUGUUUAAUUUUUUUCUUUUACUUUAUUUUUCAUUCCAUUAUUUUUCUUAUUUAUUUAUUUUGUUAAAUAAAAAAGAUUUCUCUUUGUUUUCUUUUUUUUUUUUUUUUUUUUUACUUUUUUAACCAUUAACCUAACAGAGCACUGUUCAUCUGCAAGAUCAAUGAUCAUUGUCUGAAUAACCUCUUGCAUGUAACCUUUUUUUUUCAGGGCAUAAAUCAAUAUUUAGUACAAAAAUAAGGUAAACUAACAUUCUUACAGUUUAAGGGAAGUUCUUGAUGUAGAUCAAGAAAAUGUGCUGCUCCAGUAAUAUCAUCCUCCUCUACUUUAAGUAAUACUGAGAACGGCACAUGGAGUACUGUCAGUCACCUGUACUGAAACGAGGAGUGAGAAAAUAAAUAAUAGAUAAGAAAACAUCAUUGACUGUGUGACUGAAAAACUCAAUAAAAUAUAAUAAAUACAGUACAAUAAAUCAUUAAAAUUAAAUUAUUCCAAUCACCUCACACCCCCACUGAAACCUCAUCCACAACCCUAGCUCCUGAAACCAGGACCCUUUUUCCCCAUCCCAUCCCACUCCACUCCAACACAUGCACUACAUGAAAACUGUUGAAAACCUCAAGAACAUUGUGCAAUUUUGAGUGUGCUGCACACAGGUCAGGGGGCUGGACAAACCACCUGUAGAAAAACACACUCUUUCCUCCAGUGUUAAUUUCAUUAACGAAGACGACGACUCCGUGACUAAGACUAGAUGUUGACGAGCUAAAACUAAUAUGUAAUGACAAAAUUAUGAUGAAAUUUAUGCAGCAUCUUUGUUAACUAGAUGAGACAGGACUAUAAUGUUCACUGUAAAAAAUGUACUGUAGAAUUUAUAGGAUUUUACUGCCAAAAAAGUUGCCAAUGAUAUCCUGUAAAAAUGAUGUUAAUUGUUGUAAAAUGGAUUACAGUAUAUUACUGCAAAGCAAAUUACAGUUAAUUGCUGCAUGUGAAAUACAGUAAUUUGUAGUAUAUUUUUUUACAGUAACAUUGAAUUAAACUUGUAGUUCAUUUUACAGCAAUAUUUAGUAAUUUAACUGAAGUACAGUAUUUACCUGGCAACAAAAUUUGCCAAUAAAAUCCUGUAAAUACCCCUAAAUCCAAGAUGAUGUUGUAAUAAUUUAACAAUGAAAAUGCUGUAAAGAAUAAUUUUAACAGUAAACUGUAAAAUACUGAUAUAAAUGCAUUAUCAUGAGCACUAUCUAAAUACAUUUACAAAUGAAUAAAAACCAAGUCAAUGAUGUUGCAAAUAACUAUUUAUUAUAACAGACAGAAAGAUAUUGCAAUGUGUUUAAUAUGUUAUUUGUAUGAGCUGUUUAUAUAUAGCUGGUAAUAUUCUUACAUCUGUUUCCACUUUGCUACUUUCUGAUUAUU
rnacentral:lncRNA from 1 species